AUUGAACGCUGGCGGCAUGCCUUACACAUGCAAGUCGAACGGUAACAGGUCUUCGGAUGCUGACGAGUGGCGAACGGGUGAGUAAUACAUCGGAACGUGCCCGAUCGUGGGGGAUAACUACUCGAAAGAGUAGCUAAUACCGCAUGAGAACUGAGGGUGAAAGCAGGGGAUCGUAAGACCUUGCGCAACUGGAGCGGCCGAUGGCAGAUUAGGUAGUUGGUGGGAUAAAAGCUUACCAAGCCGACGAUCUGUAGCUGGUCUGAGAGGACGACCAGCCACACUGGGACUGAGACACGGCCCAGACUCCUACGGGAGGCAGCAGUGGGGAAUUUUGGACAAUGGGCGAAAGCCUGAUCCAGCAAUGCCGCGUGCAGGAUGAAGGCCCUCGGGUUGUAAACUGCUUUUGUACGGAACGAAAAGCUUCUGGUUAAUACCUGGGAGUCAUGACGGUACCGUAAGAAUAAGCACCGGCUAACUACGUGCCAGCAGCCGCGGUAA
rnacentral:rRNA from 1 species